CAGACUUUCUAUGGGUCAGCCAUUGCAGGGAGGCAUGAAGAGCACAGAUAUCUUCAAGCAGGAUAUUGAAGAGCCUAGCAAGGUGGAAGAACUAUCUCAGAUUCCCGAGAGCAAUUCAUUCUGCCAUUAUCUCCAGAGUGAGGCUUGGGUUUUGUGAGUAAAACAACAUGGCAGAUGAAGACAGCAAACAGACCCAUCCUUGAUCUUCUUCAGGCUGGAAAAUCUCACUUCCCCACAUGGUAAUGUCAGUCUGCUGAGGGUGCAAUCCAUGGCACUACUGAAGUUGCUGAUGAUGACAUUAUCAGCCCCGG
rnacentral:lncRNA from 1 species